rnacentral:SRP_RNA from 1 species
CUGUGCUAGAUGGGGAGGUAGCGGUGCCCUGUAACCCGCAACCCGCUAUAGCGGGGUUGAAUUCCUGCCCGCGGUUUCGUACUUGUAGGGUCUUGGUCUGAGUAAGUGAUGUUGAUAAUUUGGUCCUGCGCAACGAAGAACCAUGAACCCUGUCAGAUCCGGAAGGAAGCAGCAGUAAGUGGACAUCUACGUGUGCCGCAGGGAAGCCUGAUUGGAGUUAACUGCUUGGUUACCGCUUAUGGGUGCCAAUCAGAGGUAGGUGCACAG